CCCCCUGAAUUUAAGCAUAUUAAUUAGGGGAGGAAAAGAAACUAACAAGGAUUUUCUUAGUAGCGGCGAGCAAACAGAAAACAGUUCAGCACUAAGUCACUUUGUCUAUAUGGCAAAUGUGAGAUGCAGUGUAUGGAGCGUCAAUAUUCUAGUAUGAGAAAUUAACGAUUUAAGUCCUUCUUAAAUGAGGCCAUUUACCCAUAGAGGGUGCCAGGCCCGUAUAACGUUAAUGAUUACUAGAUGAUGUUUCCAAAGAGUCAUGUUGCUUGAUAGUGCAGCACUUAGUGGGUGGUAAACUCCAUCUAAAACUAAAUAUAACCAUGAGACCGAUAGUAAACAAGUACCGUGAGGGAAAGUUGAAAAGAACUCUGAAUAGAGAGUUAAACAGUACGUGAAACUGCUUAGAGGUUAAGCCCGAUGAACCUGAAUAUCCGUUAUGGAAAAUUCAUCAUUAAAUUGUAAUAUUAAAAUAAUAUUAUGAGAAUAGUGUGCAUUUUUUCCAUAUAAGGACAUUGUAAUCUAUUAGCAUAUCCCAAAUUUAUCAUAAAAUAUAACUUAUAGUUUAUUCCAAUUAAAUUGCUUGCAUUUUAACACAGAAUAAAUGUUAUUAAUUUGAUAAAGUGCUGAUAGAUUUAUAUGAUUACAGUGCGUUAAUUUUUCGGAAUUAUAUAA
rnacentral:ncRNA from 1 species